UUGAUACUCCCUCCGUUCGGAAUUACUUGUCUCGGAAAUGGAUGUAUCUAGAACUAAAAUACAUCUAGAUACAUCCAUUUCCACGACAAGUAAUUCCGAACGGAGGGAGUACAUA
rnacentral:pre_miRNA from 1 species